UAUUGAAUAUAUCUAACGAUCAGCAUAUGCCAUCUAAGGUGGGACGGUUAGCCAGUCUUGAAAGAUUAUCCUUGUUUGCUGUGGGUGCAGAUAGGGGAGGUAGCAUUAAAGAACUAGAAUGAUUACACCAACUAAGCGGGGAGUUGGAGAUAAUUUAUCUUGAGGGGGUGAGAAACAAAGAAGAAGCUAAGAAAUCAAAUCCACAGGGGAAAACGAAAUUGAAAGCCCUUCAUUUUGGAUGGAGAUUUUCUGGAAGAGCAAGCGAGAGCAAGCGACAACAAUGAUAAGGAAGUGUUGGAAGGUCUUGAGCCUCACUCAAACAUAAAGAGAAUAAAGGUAGAGAAUUAUUCGGGCAAAAAGUUCCCGCUGUGGCUAUAUAGGAUGAAAAUUCUGAGUGAAGAUGAUUCUUUAACUGUAUUUGAUAAUUUGGUGGAACUUGUAUUGGAGAAGUGUGAGUGGUGUGAAGAACUUCCAAGGCUUGACAUCUUCCUCGUCUUAAAACGCUCGAAAUAAUAAGAAUGGGCAAGAUAAGAUGUAUAGGGAACGAAUUCUAUGGCAUUGACAGUGGAAGCACAAGCAAUGGAGGGAGACUGUUUCCAGCAUUAAAGAAAUUAUAUUUUUAUGAUAUGAGGAGUUUAGUUGAAUGGAAGGCACCACCAGUAGAUGAAGGAGGCGAAACAUCUGUACUUUCUUGCCUUGAAGAAUUGUCCAUAAAGAAUUCUCCUCGGUUGGCAAAAAUUCCAUUAAGUGAUAGUUCAUCGCUUGUGACAUUGGAAAUCGAUUAUUGUAACCAAUUGAAUUACUUAUUUGAAGAACUACAAGUACACUCCUUCUCCUCUCUUAAAAGCAUUACAAUUAGAGAGUGUCAUAAAUUAAUUUGUCUUCCAAGUGGACUGAAAUCCUUCACUUCUCUGGAAUCACUGGUAAUAAGGUAUUGCCACGGCCUAACAUCUGUUCCCGAAUAUUUAGGAGAAUUGCAUUCUCUUCGUCUUUUAGAAGUAACAUACUGUGGAAGUUUAAGUUACUUUCCAGAGACAAUAUUAGGAGGCCUCACCCGAUUAAGGGAAUUAAGAAUUGGUGGUUUGUCGGAGGAGUUGGAUUCUUUCCCUUAUCUGAAUUCAAUCCAAGACCUCUCAUCCAUUGAAUCCUUAACUAUAUGUGGAGGUUGGAGAAGUAGAAUAAAGUAUCUGCAGAUCAACUUCAACGCCUCACUGCCCUAUACUCAUUGUCUAUACUCGGUUGGGCAACCUUUCGUCUCUUCAAACCCUGAAAUUACAGUCUUGUAUGAAAUUGAAGUGUCUACCUACAGCUACAGCCAUGCAACGCCUCUCCAAAUUAAGGAAGCUCGAGAUUACAUAUUGUCCUCUUAGAGAAAAUUGUACCAAGGGGAGUGGCUCUGAGUGGUCCAAGAUUUCUCAUAUCCCAGACGUAGAUAUAAGACGCAGGUAAUUACCAUUUUUUUUCUCCUCUUUGGGCGUGCACUGUGGACUGGCUUCAUUUGUGAAUUCUCAGGAUGUUGUUUAGUAAUAAAUGAUCAUCUUAUGGUGUUUGAAGUCCACACAAGGGUCGUUUGCAUUGAUCUAAAGAAUAUAUUAGAGAUUUUAGAGAUUGCAGGAUGCAAGAUAAUUUCAGAUACAACUGCAAUGUUUUCUCUGAAAUUUUCUGCUUUCAUUUGAGCCGGUUGGUAAAGCCAAAAAAUUGUUCAACUGAGUAGAAAGAAUGUCUUUGGUGCUGCCAACAUUGUCCCAGGUGGAAGACAGAAAAAUCUUUGGAGAUUGUUAUUAGCUCCUCAAGGGACUACACCUGCUGAAUUUCAAGUUCUAGCAAUAAGACUGAACUGAAAUAGAGAUAAGUCCCCAUCAACAGCUUGAGCUUUGAGCCUCCAAUUCUCCUGAAAUUGUCAACUUCCUUCGGUUAAACUGACUAGAGGACCAAGCAGUCUCACUUUUUGGAGUCAAUAGAAGAUGGAAGAGAAUUAGUGAGUUGAAGUUGUUGCAGCAGAGGAAAGGCAGAGUGAAUGCAGAUAGUCAGUCAAACAGGGUUAGGACUUGGCUUGUUAUUGAUGAAGAUGAGAAAGAUGGAUUCACUUCAGGAGAGCCUUGAUUGUGUAGCAGUUUGGUCAAUUAAAGCACAUCAAAUGCCAUUUAGUCAGACGAAACUUAUCAUUGAGAUAUGAAGAUGAUUCAAUUGUAGAUAGAUGCUGAGCCACAGUUAUUCCAAUAAAGGAAGGAAAGAUCUCAUUUUGGAAGGUUUCACUCAAUUGCAAAUUCUAUGUGUAGCUCGUGCACACUUGAAGAUACUUUAGACUGGUAUACUUAUUAAUAACUAGCCAAAUUGUUUUUGCUCUCAUUUAAACAAUCUUACUUGGAAAAUCAGUUCAUGUUUAUUGUUGCAGCAUUAAAUUUGCUGGCUCCAUUUCCGCUUCCUUUUUUUCAGUGAUUUCCUUCACAAGGCAGCUAUGGAACUUAAGGAAGAGGAAAUGUUGGAAGAUGACCCUCCACAUAGUCCUUCAUGAGGUAAUUCAUAUACCUGUAGACCAUAGUUAUUCCAUGAUAUAAAAAAUCCUUUUUCACAUUUUCUUAAUAUUUUGAAUUUGAAAAUCAGUAAUCUCAAAUGAACAAACCUAUACAAGAAAAGAAAUUAAAAUUACUCCAUCUAUCCUAGGAGAUUAGGAUUACUAAUGGGAUACUAUAUGAUUCUUGUAUGUGGAUCAAUUCAGAUAAUCUUACUAUUUAUCAGAGAUUGCAAGAUGCAAGAUAAUUUUAGAAAUUGAGUAGAAAGCAUGUCUUUGGAGCUAUCGACUUUGCCCCAAGUGAAAGACAAAAAAAUAAUGCUUUGGAGGUGGAUAUCAUGCCCCUUUAUUAGCUCCUUACAGGAUUAUGACUGCUAAAUUUUGAGUUCAAGCUGCAAGCCUAAACAGAAAUAGAGAUAAGUUUACAUAAACACUCGAGCUUUGAGCCUCGAGUUCUCAUCAUGUUGCCAACAUCCUUCAGCUAAAACUGACUAGAGGACCAAGAAAUGUCACUUUGCAAUUGGAAUCAUCAGAUGACAGAUGAUGGAAGAGAAUUAGUGAGUUCAAUCAGUAAGAGCAAAGAAAACUAUUGAUAACUGUUGUUUGUUAAACUUGAGCUUUAAACUCCCAUUUUGAAAGCAUCCUUCAAUUAAAGAUUGAUCGAAUGAACAAUUGAACUGGCUUUGCAAUAAGAACCAUUAGAAGAUGGAACAGGACUUUGUCCAUAGUGCACAAGCGGCUUUCCUUGUUAAAGUUGUUGUAUAUAUUGUUAGAUAUGAGAAGGUUGUGAAGUAAUUCAAUUU